rnacentral:rRNA from 1 species
GACGAACGCUGGCGGCGUGCUUAACACAUGCAAGUCGAACGGAAAGGCCCUGCUUUUGUGGGGUGCUCGAGUGGCGAACGGGUGAGUAACACGUGAGUAACCUGCCCUUGACUUUGGGAUAACUUCAGGAAACUGGGGCUAAUACCGGAUAGGAGCUCCUGCUGCAUGGUGGGGGUUGGAAAGUUUCGGCGGUUGGGGAUGGACUCGCGGCUUAUCAGCUUGUUGGUGGGGUAGUGGCUUACCAAGGCUUUGACGGGUAGGCGGCCUGGGAGGGUGAACGGCCACAUUGGUCCUGAGAUACGGCCCAGACGCCUACGGGAGGCAGCAGUGGGGAAUAUGGCACAAUGGGCGGAAGCCUGAGGCGGCAGCCCCGCGUGCGGGAUGACGGCCUUCGGGGUGUAAACCGCUUUCGCCUGUGACGAAGCGUGAGUGACGGUAAUGGGUAAAGAAGCACCGGCUAACUACGUG